UGGACAGACAUGUUCAAGCUCAAGCUCCAACUGCAAACAAUGGUGGAGAAGAAACCACCACAACAAUACUGAAAAAUGCCCCAGUGCUGCCCACGUCAAAGAUAAGAAAUAAGAAGACUGACAAAGAAAAGCAGUGUAUACAGAAAGAACUGGACCGAGCCAGAGAGAAAACAUCAUUUCAGAGGUGGAGGGAGCUGCGCGAUUUGUAAGGACUCAAGAGCUUUGCAGAGUUGACUGCUUUUCUGCUGGACAAGUCAGAUUUUGUUGCUCAGUUGGAGGUCUUCUGAGGAAAACUUGCAGCCCACAGAGGAGAUUUUGGAGACUUGAGAAGAUUUCAGAGUUUCCAGAGCGAGACUUCCAAUACUGGAGGAUGAGCCCAGCCCAUAAGAGAUACCGAGCCACCUGUCUGCAGUUAGAGGCCUGUGAAUUAAGGAUCACCCACACUUAACUCAAGUGCGGGAUUUUGGCAGCCUGACAGUCGGAUGACACCGCUUAUAGAGAUUCUAACACUGUCUCUGCCCUACCGUCAGGGUAGUCAGGCUGGCUGAGGUGCAGGUCGUUGCAGGUCCUGGCAGGGUUGUCCUGGGUGCCCAUGGGGAACUUCAUGCGCUCGAUGUCCUGUUUGAGGUUGUUGAGGGAUCCAAAGAC